rnacentral:rRNA from 1 species
AUUGAACGCUGGCGGCAUGCCUUACACAUGCAAGUCGAACGGCAGCGCGGACUUCGGUCUGGCGGCGAGUGACGAACGGGUGAGUAAUACAUCGGAACGUACCCUGUUGUGGGGGAUAACUAGUCGAAAGAUUAGCUAAUACCGCAUACGACCUGAGGGUGAAAGUGGGGGACCGGAAACGGCCUCAUGCAGCAGGAGCGGCCGAUGUCUGAUUAGCUAGUUGGUGGGGUAAAGGCCCACCAAGGCGACGAUCAGUAGCUGGUCUGAGAGGACGAUCAGCCACACUGGGACUGAGACACGGCCCAGACUCCUACGGGAGGCAGCAGUGGGGAAUUUUGGACAAUGGGGGCAACCCUGAUCCAGCAAUGCCGCGUGUGUGAAGAAGGCCUUCGGGUUGUAAAGCACUUUUGUCCGGAAAGAAAUCGCGCUGGUUAAUACCUGGCGUGGAUGACGGUACCGGAAGAAUAAGCACCGGCUAACUACGUG